GCUGCUCUUUUUUGGCGUUCCCCGGGGUGUUUCACACAAAUGCCAGGGGCACCAGGUGCGUUUCUAUCACAGAGGAGACGCCUACUAGCCCUGACUACAGAAGACCAGAAA